AGGUGACCAGCCUGUCAAUGUUGUAUGUAUUGAUUAACCCACAUUUACUGGGUGCCUACUGAGUGAACGAUGAGUAAAAUUAGAUUCUGUCUUCAAAGAAUUCACUUGCUUUUUACUUAGAAUUUACCUGAAAAUGUAAUACUUAUAUACAUAGUUCUAACAUUAUUUCAACAACGUUAGUCUUCUAUGACAAUAUAAAUUUCUCGGUAAUGACUAUAGCCACAGUAGCUGGCACAGUUGUCCGUAAAGGUUAGGCCUUCUGUUGGUUGGGUGAUUGAUCUUGCUACGUUUCUUACCUUGGGGUUUGGGGUUAACAUUUAAUCUUCAUUCUCUGAGCAGUGAAAUAAAAUCUUGAGUUUAUUAUUCAGUUCCAUCAUCCAUUAUUUUGCUGAAGCCGGACCUUUACAUUGUACUGUGACCUUAAGGAAGUCAAUCUGACCUCAUUUUCCUCAUGCGUAAAAUGAAUCAUUUCUGAUAAAAGUUCUUUUAUUUUAAAAUUCUAUUAAUAGAAGAGGUUCUAAAUCCUAAAUCACGGUAACAGUGUCUCAUGUUGUUACUUUCAUUAAAAGUCUUUGUUCCCUUAGGUAAUAACAAUGAUAGCUUUGGUGAAUUAAGUUUACCUGCUGUGUCAUGCAAUGCUGCAGAAAAAAAACGCAGAAGAUGAGAAAAAUGAAGCUCAAAGAAGUGGCAUCCUGUGCUCUGAUCUGCCCGUAUUGAGUGACUUUGGUGACUGUUUUCAUCUGAAGUCCCAGACUUACUCUCACUUGUGCACUGCUCCUACCCGUCUGAGGCUGGCAUCUAGAGGUGGCCCCAGGAAGAGGGAGAUGCCGCAGACAGGCACGAGGCCCGCACCCUAAGGGCAUGUUCUCCACGUCAGGGAAGCACUGGAGAACACAGAGAUCGCUCGCCUUACGUCAGAGAGAACCAUCAGGGGUUAGAGUUUAGUUAGUCCAAAUAUGAAACCUGUUUUAAUGAAAGCUAUGCAAGUUUCAUGACUAAUUGGCUAAUUAAUUUGCUAUUCCUGCAUAAAAUUUCAGAAUGGAACUGAAUUAAACUAUUGUAGUUUAAAAACAGAGAAAGUGGAAUAGCCUCUUUAGCUCUAUGAGUGCACCAGUCAGGAAAGGCUAAGCUAUGUUGCAUUAACAACCAUCCUUAAUCUCAGCGUUUUACAAAAAAUGUGUUUUCUUAUUCCCACUACAAGUUCAUCACAAAUAUUGCUGGACACUGCUCCAUGACUUACCUCUGCGGGACCCAGACUCACGGAAUCUCCACUUCCUGGGUUAGGGGGAGAGCAUGAAUCUCAUGCCAGUUCUGAAAGCUUCAGCCCAGAAGUGAAAUAUUUCUCAUCUGUUUGCAUUUCAUUGGCUAAGGGAAGUCACAUAGCCACACCUAACUUCAAAGGUAUCAGAAGUUCCAUCCUGGCAUGUGCUCAGGAGAAAUGAAAAUACCUGGUGAAGGGCGUCAGUGGCUGUGUCUGUAGACAACACCAGACCGCGAGUCAGACAGACACCAUUUCUUUUUCCAGUUUCAUUUACUGCUCUGUUACCCAAACUUUCUGAACCUCAGUUUUCUUAUCAGUAAAAUUGAAAUGAUAAUAUUAAUGAUCUAUUUUAAAGACUUCAUAAACAAGAUCCUUAGUGUAAAAACAUCCAAUUUUUAAACUAGAAAGUUACACAAAUUAAAAAUGUGCCACUGCUUUGAAAUGAUGCCGAAUGUGAAGUGACUGCAUCUGUUUGAGGAGGCUUGCAGCUGCAGUAUCAAAAACCCGACUGCCACCGACAGGACAGGUGAGACUCGUUGGCUCACAGGCCUUGGAGUCCAGACGUAGAGGAGCCUUCAGCACUGGUGGAUUCAGUAGCUGACUGUGGGUACCAAGGACCUGUAUUUUUUCUUCCCUGCUCCUCAGUUCUCAAUAUCAGAUUAAACUUCAGGCUAAAGUGAUCACAGGCAUCAGAUUUGGGCAGAAAAAAAUGUCCCAAGAACUAGAGAGCUCCUUUUCCUUUCCCCUUAGGAGAAAAGAAACUUUUCCCAUAGGCCCCAGCAGCAAAAUGCUCUCACAACUCAUAGAAGAAUUGACUCGGAGGCCCAUCCUACACCCUUAGACAUCGAAGGCCCACCUGGAUCUCGGGGAGCCCAACCUUCCCUGUAGCACAUAGCUGAGUGGGAAAGGAGUAGACACAUGAACAAAUACAAAAAUUAGGAACUAAGGGGAGAAUGGAUGCUUCAUAGGGAGACAACAGCUUCAUAUGGCAAUGGAGUAUGAUUGAUUGUAUCCUUAUAAAUCUGAUUACUUAAUACAUUCAAUCAGUGAGAUAGAAGGAAGUACAGGGUAAAUGUGACAUCCAGCACUCUCCGUGGAGAUUUAAGAUGUAGUGGUACCAACAAAGGAUGAAUUGUGACCUCCGUCCUCACUGCCAGGAGGACCUGCUUCCCAUAAUUGGACAUUUCCUAGCAAGAGACCUCAGCUGCGCAGCAAGGAAUAUCCCAGUUUGGAACUGGGUUAUGAGGUAACCCAGCAGCACAAAUAUGUAGAUUCCUAAUUACUCCUCUUUAAGAAAUGACGAAUCGUACAAUAUUUCUUAUUUAUAAAUGGAAAAAAAUUUACAGAAAAUUAAAACAACAAAAAAUAAA